GAUGAACGCUGGCGGCGUGCCUAAUACAUGCAAGUCGAGCGAACAGACGAGGAGCUUGCUCCUCUGACGUUAGCGGCGGACGGGUGAGUAACACGUGGAUAACCUACCUAUAAGACUGGGAUAACUUCGGGAAACCGGAGCUAAUACCGGAUAAUAUAUUGAACCGCAUGGUUCAAUAGUGAAAGACGGUUUUGCUGUCACUUAUAGAUGGAUCCGCGCCGCAUUAGCUAGUUGGUAAGGUAACGGCUUACCAAGGCAACGAUGCGUAGCCGACCUGAGAGGGUGAUAGGCCACCCUGGAACUGAGACACGGUCCAGACUCCUACGGGAGGCCGCAGUAGGGAAUCUUCCGCAAUGGGCGAAAGCCUGACGGAGCAACGCCGCGUGAGUGAUGAAGGUCUUCGGAUCGUAAAGCUCUGUUAUUAGGGAAGAACAAAUGUGUAAGUAACUAUGCACGUCUUGACGGUACCUAAUCAGAAAGCCACGGCUAACUACGUG
rnacentral:rRNA from 1 species